rnacentral:rRNA from 1 species
GAUGAACGCUGGCGGCGUGCCUAAUACAUGCAAGUCGAGCGAACAGACGAGGAGCUUGCUCCUCUGACGUUAGCGGCGGACGGGUGAGUAACACGUGGAUAACCUACCUAUAAGACUGGGAUAACUUCGGGAAACCGGAGCUAAUACCGGAUAAUAUAUUGAACCGCAUGGUUCAAUAGUGAAAGACGGUUUUGCUGUCACUUAUAGAUGGAUCCGCGCCGCAUUAGCUAGUUGGUAAGGUAACGGCUUACCAAGGCACGAUGCGUAGCCGACCUGAGAGGGUGAUCGGCCACACUGGAACUGAGACACGGUCCAGACUCCUACGGGAGGCAGCAGUAGGGAAUCUUCCGCAAUGGGCGAAAGCUUGACGGAGCAACGCCGCGUGAGUGAUGAAGGUCUUCGGAUCGUAAAACUCUGUUAUUAGGGAAGAACAAAUGUGUAAGUAACUAUGCACGUCUUGACGGUACCUAAUCAGAAAGCCACGGCUAACUACGUG